rnacentral:lncRNA from 1 species
GGUUGUAAAACACCAGAGGUACAUAUCCAAGCAUUUGUUAAGGGCCUCUAUUUGACCAUCGAUUUGGGAAUGGUAAAGGGUGCUAAUAAUGAGUUCAGUUUCCUGCAGUCGGUGGAGUUCUUACCAGAAGGUAUGCAUAAAACGAGGAUCUUUGUUUGUGACAAUAGUUGCAAGUAUGCCAGGAAGACGAAUGAUAUUCGAGACAAAUGCUAAUGUGACAGUUUCGCUAGUAAAAUUGCCAAGAAGAACGGUGAAAUGGUCGUACUUGGAGAGACGAUCAACAACAACCA